GGGUCCGGACACACUGAGGAUUGACAGGCAAUAUUAAUACGUUUUGCUUCGGUAAACGCGUAUUAUGUUAAAUAUGCUAGUCCUUUCAUGAUUAUGUGAUAGGUGGUGCAUGGCCGUUCUUAGUUCGUGGAGUGAUCUGUCUGCUUAAUUGCGUUUCACUAAGGGCCUAUAAAUUUACGUGUGUUGCAUCGCACUUUGACCCCUUUCUUUAAUUAGAGAGCGCGUGUCUUAGUUUUCGCUUUGCUCAUACAAUUAGGUCCUGAAAGCAACGAACGUGACCGCAACCUCUUGUUGCCUUUAUACCAAACAUGUUUUGCGUCAAUUUUUACGAAUUGCGCGCAUUUCAUGAAAAAAGGCUUUUUAAACUAGAGGGACCGCUGUUACUUUCUUAAACCAGAGGAAGGUUGCGGCAAUAACAGGUCUGUGAUGCCCUUAGAUGUUCCGGGCUGCACACGUGCUACAAUGAUUAUUGCAGUGAGCAUCUCAUUUUUACACACCGCAUGCGCGAGUCCAUUUAUUCACCUUCGGGUGUNUUAAAUGUGUAUCUCUGCGCGCGGUAAAGCCUGCUUCGACAGUAAGUGGGU
rnacentral:rRNA from 1 species